UUAUGGCUCAGGACGAACGCUGGCGGCGUGCCUAAUACAUGCAAGUAGAACGCUGAAGGAGGGAGCUUGCUUCUUCUGGAUGAGUUGCGAACGGGUGAGUAACGCGUAGGUAACCUGCCUGAUAGCGGGGGAUAACUAUUGGAAACGAUAGCUAAUACCGCAUAAGAGGUAAUAACACAUGUUAUUAGUUUAAAAGGGGCAAUUGCUCCACUAUCAGAUGGACCUGCGUUGUAUUAGCUAGUUGGUAAGGUAACGGCUUACCAAGGCGACGAUACAUAGCCGACCUGAGAGGGUGAUCGGCCACACUGGGACUGAGACACGGCCCAGACUCCUACGGGAGGCAGCAGUAGGGAAUCUUCGGCAAUGGGGGCAACCCUGACCGAGCAACGCCGCGUGAGUGAAGAAGGUUUUCGGAUCGUAAAGCUCUGUUGUAAGAGAAGAACGGAUGUGGGAGUGGAAAAUCCAUGUCGUGACGGUAUCUUACCAGAAAGGGACGGCUAACUACGUGCCAGCAGCCGCGGUAAUACGUAGGUCCCGAGCGUUGUCCGGAUUUAUUGGGCGUAAAGCGAGCGCAGGCGGUUUCAUAAGUCUGAAGUUAAAGGCAGUGGCUUAACCAUUGUACGCUUUGGAAACUGUGAGACUUGAGUGCAGAAGGGGAGAGUGGAAUUCCAUGUGUAGCGGUGAAAUGCGUAGAUAUAUGGAGGAACACCGGUGGCGAAAGCGGCUCUCUGGUCUGUAACUGACGCUGAGGCUCGAAAGCGUGGGGAGCAAACAGGAUUAGAUACCCUGGUAGUCCACGCCGUAAACGAUGAGUGCUAGGUGUUGGGUCCUUUCCGGGACUCAGUGCCGCAGCUAACGCAUUAAGCACUCCGCCUGGGGAGUACGACCGCAAGGUUGAAACUCAAAGGAAUUGACGGGGGCCCGCACAAGCGGUGGAGCAUGUGGUUUAAUUCGAAGCAACGCGAAGAACCUUACCAGGUCUUGACAUCCCGAUGCCCGCUCUAGAGAUAGAGUUUUUCUUCGGAACAUCGGUGACAGGUGGUGCAUGGUUGUCGUCAGCUCGUGUCGUGAGAUGUUGGGUUAAGUCCCGCAACGAGCGCAACCCUUAUUGUUAGUUGCCAUCAUUCAGUUGGGCACUCUAGCGAGACUGCCGGUAAUAAACCGGAGGAAGGUGGGGAUGACGUCAAAUCAUCAUGCCCCUUAUGACCUGGGCUACACACGUGCUACAAUGGCUGGUACAACGAGUCGCAAGUCGGUGACGGCAAGCUAAUCUCUUAAAGCCAGUCUCAGUUCGGAUUGUAGGCUGCAACUCGCCUACAUGAAGUCGGAAUCGCUAGUAAUCGCGGAUCAGCACGCCGCGGUGAAUACGUUCCCGGGCCUUGUACACACCGCCCGUCACACCACGAGAGUUUGUAACACCCGAAGUCGGUGAGGUAACC
rnacentral:rRNA from 1 species